AGAGUUUGAUCCUGGCUCAGGAUGAACGCUGGCGGCGUGCUUAACACAUGCAAGUCGAGCGAAGCACUUAAGUUUGAUUCUUCGGAUGAAGACUUUUGUGACUGAGCGGCGGACGGGUGAGUAACGCGUGGGUAACCUGCCUCAUACAGGGGGAUAACAGUUAGAAAUGACUGCUAAUACCGCAUAAGACCACAGCACCGCAUGGUGCAGGGGUAAAAACUCCGGUGGUAUGAGAUGGACCCGCGUCUGAUUAGGUAGUUGGUGGGGUAACGGCCUACCAAGCCGACGAUCAGUAGCCGACCUGAGAGGGUGACCGGCCACAUUGGGACUGAGACACGGCCCAAACUCCUACGGGAGGCAGCAGUGGGGAAUAUUGCACAAUGGGGGAAACCCUGAUGCAGCGACGCCGCGUGAGCGAAGAAGUAUUUCGGUAUGUAAAGCUCUAUCAGCAGGGAAGAAAAUGACGGUACCUGACUAAGAAGCCCCGGCUAACUACGUGCCAGCAGCCGCGGUAAUACGUAGGGGGCAAGCGUUAUCCGGAUUUACUGGGUGUAAAGGGAGCGUAGACGGAGAGGCAAGUCUGAUGUGAAAACCCGGGGCUCAACCCCGGGACUGCAUUGGAAACUGUUGAUCUGGAGUGCCGGAGAGGUAAGCGGAAUUCCUAGUGUAGCGGUGAAAUGCGUAGAUAUUAGGAGGAACACCAGUGGCGAAGGCGGCUUACUGGACGGUAACUGACGUUGAGGCUCGAAAGCGUGGGGAGCAAACAGGAUUAGAUACCCUGGUAGUCCACGCC
rnacentral:rRNA from 1 species